UCGGGAAUUUUGGGCAAUGGGCGAAAGCCUGACCCAGCAACGCCGCGUGAAGGAUGAAGUCUUUCGGGAUGUAAACUUCGAAAGAAUAGGAAGAAUUAAUGACGGUACUAUUUAUAAGGUCCGGCUAACUACGUGCCAGCAGCCGCGGUAAUACGUAGGGACCAAGCGUUGUUCGGAUUUACUGGGCGUAAAGGGCGCGUAGGCGGCGUGGUAAGUCACUUGUGAAAUCUCUGAGCUUAACUCAGAACUGCCAAGUGAUACUGCUGUGCUAGAGUGCAGAAGGGGCAAUCGGAAUUCUUGGUGUAGCGGUGAAAUGCGUAGAUAUCAAGAGGAACACCUGAGGUGAAGACGGGUUGCUGGGCUGACACUGACGCUGAGGCGCGAAAGCUAGGGGAGCAAA
rnacentral:rRNA from 1 species